UGGAGCAAGAAGAGCUCAGGCUGUGACCCUCUAGAGGGAAGCACUUUCUGUUGCUUGAAAGAAGACAAAGCGCUUCCUUUUAGAGGAUUACUCUUUGAGAAAAGCAAUGUUGAGG
rnacentral:miRNA from 1 species